AACUGGGGGUGACCAUGUAGCUCACUCAUAUUAUUCACUCCUUCAAUGAUAGGGUGCCUGAGCUAGAUGAUGAUGGUUUGACAGGUGAACAAGAUAGCUCUGUUUGCUUCCCUGAUGGAGAUGAUGCUCUCAUAGAUUUUUUUAGUGAAUCAAGAAUCUGGCAUCCAUAAAGGAAAUCAGCAGAUUUUGACAAUGAGACCCAUUAUUGACAGAUACUGUGACUGAUUUCCAACGUGUGUUGAUGAUGUCAUUAGUUACAGAAACAUUCUUGCUUUGAUGUUCACUUUAGUUUAUGAUGACCUUCAGAUCUUUUUGUUUUCAACCUUGAGAAGAAAAAGUUUCUUUAAAAAGGAAAUUGAGUCAGCUCAACCGCAAGAAGGUUGUAGGGACUGAAAAGAACCACCCAUUAAUCCUAUUGCUCUAAAAUAAUUGGCUUUCUUUGCUAAGAUUGUUGUAGAUUUAGGGCCCCUUUACUCCAGGGAGCUGUAAACAGUUCAUGAGGUUGAAUGUGUCUUAUUUUCCCCAGUCUCUGCCGAUUGUAUCAGACGCCAGAGUUAUAGUCCCCAAUUUGCAGAGGAAAAAAAAACAAUGCAGAGAAGGCUAGGGGACAAGUCCAAGUUGUCAUAGUUAGAGGCAAGACAGAUACUGAUCCAUUCUUAUCCUUGUGAGAAGCUGUCAUCCCCCUGAGCUCCCAGCCCACACAGAGUUGACGUCUUCUCAUUCAGUCCCUCCCUUCUAUCCCCACUGCCGCAGCCCUGGCUGAGACCUUAGUCAGUAUAACUUGAGGAUUGUGUAAUUUCCUCCUUGUUUUCCUCACUGCCACUUCUACUAAUCUCUUCUACUGCCCAUUCUUUCCAGAGGAAUCUAUCUCGUGCACAGCAACAAGCAUGCCACUCCUCUGACCAGAAACCUUCAUUGGUUCUCUUUUGCCUGCAAAGCAAAGUCCAGAUUUCUUAACCAGUGUGUAAACUCAUCAAGACAAGGAACUAUGCCUGUCUCUUCUUUGCAACCCCGUUGUGUCUGGUGCUUUGGGAGAGAACUACAGAAGCAUUUGCUGAACAGACAAUGAGUGGGUUCUCUCCCAGCUUAAUCAGUCAGUUGCCCUCUAAUGCUUCAUACUUAGUUCUUAAGAGCAGUCUAUUUCUCCUGUCUACAGAAGCCUCCUGAGACGACAUGCCCCACCGGGAGAAGAGAGGUAGGCUCCAGCUGAAAUCCAAGGGGAGAUACAGCCACAGCAGUGACCUCCCAGCACCCAGCACCAGCUCUGUGCCAAGUAUAUUUUGGGGCUUUAGCUUUGGAGCCCAAGGCUGUGUCUAUACAGUGUAACUGAGACCUGCCUCUGUACUAGAUUUGGUAUUUGCGCUUGUCAUGAGGGCACAGUGCCCAGCAGUGGUUCAGACUAUGUGCGAUGGUUCUAAUUUGGUUGUUAAAGCUGCCAAAAGAAUGACUAACGCAACUGACAAAAAAUAUUUUUGGUGAACAAAUGACAUCAACCACUUGACCACUGGUCUCUAUUUGAGUUGGAAAAUCCAAAUGAAGCAAAAUAAACAGUCCAUAGGAUGAGGACAUAUUUGUCAGGGGGUGUAUCAUGAGGAAUCAUCUCCUUUCCCUGGGGUCAUGAUGUGCAGAGCAGGGACGUUGCCAUAGCCCUGUCAGAGUCCUUUCCCUUCCUGCUCCUUGUGUCCAUCUCCCUGAGAGACACUCUUCUUCCCUUUCAGGCUGAAUAUGCAUCGAACUAUUUCCUCUUAGAUAAAGUCAUUUGCAUUUGCCUCCCAAGAUGACUCUCAUUUCAUUGGGUGCUGUCCAUAUUCCUAGUCUGCUAAGUCCAUUUAUAUUAUCACUUGGCCUUGCCUGACGCUUGGCCUAUUUCUCCUUUCAGUGUUGCCAUGACUUCAGAGUGACUACAGAGCAGGCCAGGAGUACAUGUCCUUCCAUUACGGGAAGAAGGUGGGGAGAAGAGGUAGAAAAAGCCAACAAGAAGAAAAACAACCAUAUUGUACUUCCUGAGCGGGAACAGGCUGUGGUUUUGUACAAAAUUUGCAGUGAAGAACAAGUCAUACAGAUAAUAAUAAAUAGCAAACAACAGGAUGUGUGUGUUAAUUCACACUAACUUUUUCAGCCCUCACCCCCCACUCUCUGAAGCAGAACCUGAUUAUCUCCCCUUUAACUGAGGAAGCUGAGGCACAGAGAAGAGAAGUAAUAUGCCCAAAACAACACAGCUAGAAAGUGGCAGGGACUGGAUCCUGUGGAACAUGCAUGUCAUUAUACAGAUCUUAUGUUUCAGUAGUUUCAAAAUGUCCUGUCCUUAAGCUCAGGUGACAGACAUGUUGCUGAUUUCAGUAUCUGAUUGGGAAAUCCAAGCAAUAUCAUUUUUUUCCAUAGCUCCAAUGACCCACCCACUCCUGGGGCAUUUUUGCACACUUCUGCCAUGAUCUCACUUCUGCUGAGGUGAUCAGGUACAGUGUGUGUGUGUGUGUGUGUGUGUACACAAAUAUAUGCAUAGGAAACAGGUUUUGGGUCAUUACUUAUUUUACAAAAAUGUGAUCCCAUUAUAGACACAGUUAUUCCAUUUGUCUUGUUCGCUCAUAAAAACUAAUGGAAAUCCUUUCAAGGCCAUUGUUAGGGAAUGAAUUCAUGCUUUGUAAUGGCUGCACCAUAUUUCAUGGCAUGAGUGUAUUAUACUAAUGCACACAACCCCCUAUAGAUGAACAGUCACUUUGUUUUCAUGACUUUAAUUGUAAUUAUAAUUGUAAUUGAUACAGUGUUGGUGGGAACAAUGUUGCAAAAAGAAUCCCUGGGUGUGUAUUCUUAUGUCCUGGGAAUUGUAUUUCUGAGGAAACCAAUUCAAUGGUUGUUAGAAUAUUUACAGAGUUGUGCAGUCAUCACAACCCAUAUCAGAACAUUUUUAUCUCCUUGCAAAAAAAGCCCAUACCCAAUAGUGGUCACUUUUCACUUCUCACCAAUCUUCCAUCUUUAGGCAACCACUAAUCUAUUUUCUGUCACUAUAGAUUUCCCAAUCCUGAGCAUUUUAGAGAAAUGGAAUUCUGCAGUAUGUAGUCUGUUAUGAUUUGCUUCUUUUGCUCAGCAUAACGUUUUCAAGGCUCUGCCAUGGCAUAGGAAGUAUCUAAACCAACCUGAGAAUAAUUAGGUUGAGCAUUGUUCCACACACAAUAUUCAAAGGACCCAAAUUUGUAGCAAAUUCCAUGGCAGUUGUAAUGUUGAGCUGCUAUAGCAAAAAAAACCUGGGCAUUCUUGAUACUUGAAUAUGGAAUAUGUGCACAGGGAAAGGAAAUAAACAUUGCACUUUAUAA